rnacentral:lncRNA from 1 species
AUGUGGUGCGGGAUAGCACCGAAUCCAGCCGGGUCGGCUCCAGAUGCGCGGCGCUGGUGGACCGAGCCCAGCUGGGGGACGGGGCCGGCGGAGCUCCCUCCCUUCCGCGGGGCUGGAACCGGCCCCUGGGCAGCGCCCCCAGCUCCUCCCCGCUCUGUAGGGCCGGUCCGAGCCCCUCCUCCCGUUUCCGCUGGCAGGAGCUGGAGCCGUGUCCUGCCGUGCCUGUGCAGCUCCCUCAGGACUCGGCCCUAUCCGGCUCGGCUCGGCCCGGCCCGGCCCGGCCCAGCCCAGCCCGGCCCAGCCCAGCCCAACGCGGUCCAGGGACGUGCGGGUUUGUUUGGGGACCUUUCCAUUGGCAUACAUCCAGUUGCCUCAAGGCUCUACUCUUGGGUGGUGGAGCACACCAGUGAAAACCUAGCUGGGGAAGACUGAAAUGCUUGAUUCUUGGCCCAGGAGUUUUCAUUUUGUUUCUCCUUGUGCCACUUGACAUGAUUGCAGUUUUGUGAUCUUUCUUUUGACUUGUUUCCAACCCUUUAAAAUUUGAUACUAUGGAAAUUAAUGUACCAUUAACUAUUUUGCUUAAACUAGUUUAUAUUAUGAAGAUGAGAAUUCCCACAGCAGCUUUAACUCUGACCCCAGAAAAGAAAGCACACCAAGUGAGUGUCCUAAGUUAGACAAUUAUGUAUCAGUGGGCACUAGGAUAUACACUGUAUGUGGCAAAUAUUUCCAUUGCAGAUCUGUUCCAAGUCCGUAACAGUGUUGAAAUGCUAACUAUGCUAAAUGAUUGUAUUACACUGGUAAAUCAGUAUAGACUUGAUUCACAGAAUGCUAAUCUGUGAGUCAUAUCAUCAAGGAGUGCAAAAGAAUGCACACCCAUCAAGAGAAAGAGAAGAUAAAUAAAGUUAUUGAAACAUUUUUUUUGCA